rfam:Hordeum vulgare subsp. vulgare, WGS project CAJW01000000 data, contig: morex_contig_54822
UUUUUACUCCAUCCGUUCGGAAAUACUUCUCCUAGAAAUAUACAAAAUGGAUGUAUCUAUAACUAAAAUAAGUCUAGAUACAUCUACUUAUAGGACAAGUAUUUUCGGACGGAGGAAGUAUAAA